ensembl:lncRNA
CUGCUGUCCGCGAGACUACACCCUGUCUUUCAGCUGCUUUCCACCUUGAUUAUCACUCUAUGAGAGACUUAUUUAUGAACAGCAAGGAGAUCUGGUUCAUGCCGUGUCACAUUUUCUUCUUUGCAUGCCUACUCAUGCAGUGUUCACCAACAGGUACAAUUCUAGUAAUAAUACUAACCCGCGUUUUCAGCUGCUGGUCCGUCACUCCUUUCACUUCUCAGCUUGGCUGCUGUCUGAAUUACUGAAGCACAUUUUCAUCCCUAAGCAGCUCUUCCAGGGUGCAGAGAAGAAUAAGGGAACUGAGCAGUAAGGCAGCAUUUUCCCAGCAGAGGGAGGUGUUGUAAAGCUCAGCCUCAAGCUGGAUUCUGCUUGCUGGGGACAAAUGUGUGCUUUACAGCUGAAUUUUAUGCAUUUGUUGGGCAGAAGGUCAUGGGGUGCAGAGCCCAGGGGAGGCAGCCAAAAGAACUUGGUUCAUGUCCAGAUCAACAUAAGAUUUUUUCCCACGCUCGCUCUUAUAUCUUUGUAUUAUUAUUCUUGAAAUAACAUCUGCUGAAAGCUCGAUGGCGAGGUGCUGUCGGUAUAGCUGGAGCAGGGACAAGGAGGGCUGCCCAUCCUCACCACAGCACCGACAGGGGGCCACCUCACCAGUCUGCUGCCCCCUCAAAUCCCAAAGUGCUUUGUUGGAUUGAGAGAGCCCCUGCCUGGCUGGGUGUUGAGAGCACCACCAUGCAGCUUCUUGCUUUACUUUUUUUAUGGCAGGGAGGUGCAGCCGUAGAAGUAGUUAAAAAAGACAGCAGCUACUGGCAAAUUGCUGCACUUGCACUUUUUGACUUUGUACGGAUGUAAAUCCAAGUAGGGCUUUGCAGUGGAUGAAGUGCCCCACACUUACUGCAAUCCACACAUUAAAUAUGCAUACUUCAGGCUUGAUUGAUUGCUAAGUGGAGCAGGGUAAGAAACAUCCAAGCAGAUGUUGGAGUCCCAUUAGGCACAAGGAAGGAAGCAUGUAAUUAGGCAAUUAUUUAGCUCCUUGAAUCAACAGUUUAGGCUCCCACGAAGCUUUGAAAUUUUCUUUUCAAGGUUCAAGCGCUUAGAUCUGUGGCUUGAUUUCUCUCUGCUCAUUUCCUUUUAUCUUUAUCUGCUCCAGCACUGGCCCAAGGCAUGGGGCAGGAUUCCAUGGCACCCAGAGCCAUAUGCGAUAUGGACAGCAAACCACGAGCGCAGCUGCUUCUCGUGUCAGUGGGAAGGCUGUCCAAGGAAAAGCAUGGAAAAGAGAGUAGUUAUUGGUUUUUUUAAUUUAUUUUAUUCUUAAUCUUGACUUUAAAGAGUGUUUUCCUUCCAGACCUUGUGAGAAACAGCCGAAAACCAACACCCUGGAUGCAUCCCUCUUGAGAAAACUCAUCCCAGUGAUAAGCUGGGUGAGCAGUGGGGGAUGGAGAAACAAUGUGGGUGGAGAAAUCUGCACUCCCUUCCGCCCCCACUGCUGCCACCUUUUAACUGUGUGUGCUCUGGAGGCGUUUGUAUACUCCCCUUGCAGUGCUCUUUGGAUUUAUUUUUGUGACCUUUUGUGCUGCCCUGUAAACAGCUUUUCCUAUCGCUUUGAAAAUCUUCAAACUGAAUUUAAUCGAAAUUGGGUGGUCUGUUCAAAGUUAAAAAUACAAGGAUGUGCCACUGGAGUGGAAAAUAAAGAUCAGUAACGUUGAUAAAG